rnacentral:tRNA from 1 species
GUCAUGAUUGCUCAAGUGGUAGAGUAGCGGCCUACCAAGCCGAAGAUCGUGGGUUCGAAUCCCGCUCGUGACA